rnacentral:rRNA from 1 species
GUGGGGAAUAUUGCGCAAUGGACGAAAGUCUGACGCAGCAACGCCGCGUGAGUGAUGAAGGUCUUCGGAUCGUAAAGCUCUGUCGGCAGGAACGAUGUUUUUGAGAGCUAAUAUCUCUCGAAAUUGACGGUACCUGCAAAGGAAGCACCGGCUAACUCUGUGCCAGCAGCCGCGGUAAUACAGAGGGUGCAAGCGUUGUUCGGAAUCAUUGGGCGUAAAGGGCGCGUAGGCGGUUGAUCAAGUUGAAUGUGAAAGCCCGGGGCUCAACCUCGGAAGUGCAUUCAAAACUGGUCGACUAGAGUUCCGCAGAGGAUGGUAGAAUUCCCAGUGUAGAGGUGAAAUUCGUAGAUAUUGGGAGGAAUACCAGUGGCGAAGGCGACCAUCUGGACGGAUACUGACGCUGAGGCGCGAAAGCGUGGGUAGCAAACAGG